CCCACUUAAAUAUUUAUUUUAUUGCUUUUAGUAUUUGUUGUUAUAGCGGCAACAGAAAUACAUCAUGUGUGAAAAUUUCAACUGUCUAGCUAUCACGGUUCGUGAGAUACAGCCUGGUGACAGACAGAUGGUCGGACAGCGGAGUCUUAGUAAUAGGGUCCCGUUUUUACCCUUUGGGUACGGAACCCUAAAAACUACUGCGCAAAUUCUCGGGGUUAAUAUUUAGGAUGCGACUGAAAAAACUCAGGCUAAUUACGACCUCGCCUUCGACUUCGGGCUUCAAUUCACACUCGUUCGUAAAUUCUUGUUUACCGCCCUCAAAACACAAUGUACUAAAUUAUUGUCACACUUUCACUAUAGUCUUCAACAAAGCGUUUUAUCAAACAACUUUCCCCAAAGUACCUAUUCAGCGAUUAUACCAAAGGUCACUGCCCCAGUUCUCACCUAGAUUAUAUUCACAAACUCCCAUAUUCCAAUAUGACUAGACCCCUAACUUCAUACCAACUAUACGUCGCAAGGGGUCUUAGUUCAAAAAAUAUUUUAACAGCAGUAAUUCCCCUAUAUUUCUUGACCCGUAACUCCAUACUAACUAUACAACGUGCUCACAAGGAACUCGAAACAUUUUAAUAGUGUAUUCCUGAUCAUAUUUAAAGACUAAAAUGUCGAAUAAACUUUUCCGGAUUCACCUAGUUUCAGAGUAAAUACCGAUUUUUUAUUGUUACUUAGUGAAAAACGCCUUUUUGAUGGCGAUGUUGCCACUAUGGGGUCUACUCUAAAUAUCCUUAUUGACAAAAUAACAAUAAGUGACAAGUAACACUUUGCAAAAAACUAGGUUUUACGUAAAACAAGUACCAAUCAUUUUAUAUGAUAGUUUUACCAAUAACAUUUACAAUAAAAAAUAUACUUUAGGCGAAUUUGACCUAAGCUCUUUCUUAGUUAAAAUUUAAAAUCUUUCAGGUUCCUCGUGAACACCUUGUAUGUAUCAAGGGCUCAAGUUAUACUGGUUUUUGUAUGGUUUUGGCACAGUUGAUAACAACAGUCAUUAAGCAUGAUAAAUGGUGUUGCUAAAACGCUUUGUUGGGCGUAAUUUUGGGUACAAUGGAUGAAAACGAUGUCGUCCGGGAGCGAGUCAUGGUAAUCGAUAGGCGUUUAUUACGGAGUUUAAGAGUCGGACGUAUACUCUGUAUCUUUAGGUAUUUAAAUAAAAGUAAACAAAUAAUUUGUAUUGGGGAUAUAACAUUUAUUGCUUAACUAACCAAAUACAAAACCGCCUGGAUCUGUCACUGAACGACCUGACUAUAACCUACAUUAUAACCUACUUAAAAUAAAUUGUUUCACACCGUGCACGAAAUAAAGCACCAGAUAAUUAUUAGAAAAACAUAGAUAGCAGUUAUUUUUAAACACAAUUUCUGUUUUAUAUAUCGGAUUGAAAUAUAAUUAAAAAAAACCGGACAAGUGCGAGUCGGACUCGCCCACCGAGGGUUCCAUACUUUUUAGUAUUUGUUAUAGCGGCAACAGAAAUACAUCAUCUGUGAAUAUUUCAACAAGACAGACGGCCAACGGACAACUUAGCUAUAGGGGUCCGGUUUUUACCCUUUGGGUACGGAAUUAAUAAUAAUAAUAAUAACAGAAUAAUAACAAAUUAUACUCGCGUGACUAUUUCUGUACAUGAUUUAAGUUAUAAUUGUCAUCUUGGCUAUGCCCCCGACCUUACCUUUAACCUUUUGAACGCUUUACGUCAUUAACAAAACGCCACUGACACGCCAAGGCGCAAGCGAGCUAAUGUAAACCUUACUUGAAAGUGUGAAGAUUAUUUGACAGCGUCCGCCAUAACACUUAUAGUGGUCCUGGGCGCUGUGGGGACGACUAGUGAAGACGACUUUAGGUGUUCUUGGCGUUCAAAUGGUUAAUGCAUUUAUCAAUCUUCUUCCUCGCGUUGUCCCGGCAUUUUGCCACGGCUCCUGGGAGCCUGGGGUCCGCUUGACAACAAUGACAACUAAUCCCAUGAUUUGACGUAAGCAUAAAUUUUACGAAAUCGACUGCCAUCUGACCUUCCAACCCAGAGGGGAUACUGGGAUUAGUCCGGUUUCCUCACGAUGUUUUCCUUCACCGAAAAGCAAAAUGCGACUGGCAAAUAUCAAAUGAUAUUUCGUAGGUACAUAAGUUCCAAAAUUCAAAAAACUCAUUGGUACGAGCCGGGGUUUGAACCCACGACCUCCGGAUUGAAAAUCGCACGCUCUUACCGGUAGGCCACCAGCGCCAGGCGUGGCCCACUCCGCGAUUUCGUCGCUUUGCUACAGGUAGCUAAAAGUACAUCCGUUCCACACCAAUUUUGGUGGCUAGCCAUAAGCCGCGCGUGGCGCUGUCGCCACCUAGCGGCCAUAUCUGUCCUGAUCGUAACAGACGCGUUAUGUUAGGGACUGAGUCUUCUGUACCUAGUACUAUUAUUUAUUCUGUGCCAGCGCUUUUAUCAAUAAAGACAUUAAAUGAUAAAAUACGCCUUAUAUCUCGACGGGCCUUGACAUUUUGAUCUUUAUUGAGUCAGUAAAGCGCAUCAGUUGUAAAAAUGCACUUCGCUUUAUAUGCGCGUAAGCUUGAUACGUGACGCCAUUUUCUUUUAUGCUCCGUUUUAUGUUUUUAAUACCGCGAUUGUGGGAUAUAAAACUUGCAGUAAGCAGAGAGGGCCUACCACAAACACCGAAGAACGCGGCUUUUUUCUCUGUCACUCUAAUUACGUCUUAAUUGGAGUAAAUGAGAAAGAUGCCCGCAAUCUGCGAACUUCGGUGUUCGCGGUAGGCCCUCAGACUUUCUAGCCUAUGGCUGGAGUAUCCAAAAGGUUAUACGAGUAUAUGCAUUGCCUUACGAUACGAGAUAAGGUUAUGGCUUUAUGACUCACCGAUAAUCGCAAGCGAUUUGCAAUACAUUGCGGCAUUUGAUCGAUCGAAUUCGUUGCUCAUACUUAGCCGGCAAUAUUUAAAAUCACAUGCUAUUUGUUGCAACGUCUGUAGAAGCUUUUAUAAAUAAAUUUAACGUAAAUUUGAGUAAUAAAAAAACUGUAACAAAUUGCACUAUAUGUAUUUUUGAAUUUUUCACAUAGUACAUACCAUUUAAAAAACCUUAACGCAUAAAUUGUAUUGAAGUGUUAGCGGUCACCAUACCCAAGCUAAGUGAAAAAUACUAUUAUUAAAGUAGGAUAUAAAAGAUUAUCGCACAUAGACUUUGAUGCUAUAAUCAUAAGAGUGGUGUUUGCCCUUGCAAUACUUGAUCUUGCGGCAAAUGCUAUAUGGGGUAAAAGCUCGUAUAAAUGUCUCAAGAGUCUAGCUCAUACAAUAUUUUUUUGACUGAAUGUCCUAAGCGGCAGGACGACUUUGAAUAAUUGGGGUAGUUCUAAAAAAACUGACCCUAUGAUUUUUGAAAAUGCUAAGCAUGAUUAGAAAUACCUAGUAAUUUUAAGAAAUCGGACUUGACUACAUAUACUUAGUAAGUUUAUUAGCUGUGUACAAAAAGAUGGUACAUUUUUUUCAAUAACAAGAUGAUGCCAUUAAAAAAAAAACAAAAAAUGAUUAAACUAACUUAUGAUAUUAUAAAGAGUGCAACUAAAAAGUUACUUUAUUAAUAGAUAUAAGUUAAUGUAGGUAUGUAUAAUAGUCUUUUUUGUAUAUCUAUGUACCGAAAGUGGAUAGACGUUGACUUAUGUAAGUUAAAUACACGAUGGUGUACAUAAUACAGCUAGAAAACUGUACAUACAAUAUUGUACAUACACUGUAAAUACACUCGAGAUAUAUAUUUAAUAAUAAUAUAAAUUUGAUUCAAAGAAAAGUUUUAAAAAAUAAAUUGAGAAAAAAAUACAAAAAAAUAAAAUAAAGACAUACAGUGAGUAUGAAGUGGAAAAAGCAA